UACAGAGGGGGCAAGCGUUGUUCGGAAUUACUGGGCGUAAAGGGCUCGUAGGCGGCCAACUAAGUCAGACGUGAAAUCCCUCGGCUUAACCGGGGAACUGCGUCUGAUACUGGAUGGCUUGAAUCCGGGAGAGGGAUGCGGAAUUCCAGGUGUAGCGGUGAAAUGCGUAGAUAUCGAUAGGAACACUCGUGGCGAAGGCGAGCUACUGGACAACAUCUGACGCUGAGGCUCGAAGGCUAGGGGAGCAAAAGGG
rnacentral:rRNA from 1 species